GGAAAUUGGUAUUAUUUUAAGAUUCACACUUAGAAAAUGCAUCCAUUAAAAAAAAAAAAGCUUUAGGGAUUUUUUUUUUAAAGGCAAUUUACUAUUUUCAUUAACCUUAAAAUGCAUUAUUAAAGGUUGCAGCUUUCACAAACACAAACAGGUGCUGAGAGACAGGUAAAGCACAGCUCAAAUCAGUAAUCCGUUUCAAAAAGGCUGCAAUAUGACCUGCUUGCAUUGGGUAGCCUCUUUCUUUGCCCCGUGGUAUAUGUGACACCUAACUCCUCAUGAAUCAUUCAGCCUGGGAGAGAAAGUGCUUCCUAUUUCCCUGAGAACCAUCUCAGAGUAGUGUACUCAACACUGCAAGAAGAUGCACAAAACUAGGGAUUAUUGCUGGCCAGUCCUUCUCUGGUGGCUCUCUAGCCCAGCACUAAGGAUUGCUUUUGGACUGAAUGCAACACGAACGAAUCAGCGCCAGCCCCCUUGUCAGCCAGGCCACUACUGUCCAGAAGGCAGCGAAAUUGCAGUUCCAUGUCCCAGAGGCACGUUUGCACCAAGUUUUUGGGCCAGGGACAUCAAUGGUUGUAUUAGCUGCCCUCCACAUCACUAUGCUCCCACAGAGGGUCUGUCUGCCUGUCUGCCCUGUGGAUCCAGAGCUCGGCAGCCUCUACCCAGGCAGGAUAAAUGUAUAUGCCUAACAGAGGGCCAAGUCUUCCAAGCCAGCGAUGGGCAGUGCCAUUGUGCUUUGGGGUACCGCUCUACACAAAGUGGGGAUGCCUGUGAGUUAAAGAUAUAUGAGAUCUGCAAAGAUGGACAAGCACGGGACCAGUAUGGCAAAUGUUUGGAUCGCAGGCAGUGGAAACACCUUUGUUCUAAUGAGGUGUGUGCGUCUCCACAGCUGUAUGAGGGUUAUGAUGCCUCCCUGGGUCUGUGUGUCUGCAAAAGUCUGACUGAUCCAGGAAGAAGUGAGUGCUCAGGAUGGUGUGGAGACAGGAUGAGACCUGUGUUGCAGCUGGUGUGCAGUUCUGCUGUCCUUCAGCUGCUUUACACUGAGGCAAAUAGACAGGUUAGUGCAUCAGGAAGUGCGCUUUUAUCUAUCCUCAAACAUUGGGAGUCCCGAGGAAGGCUGAGGUGUGAGCGGCAUCAUGGGUUCUCCAGGCCUGUGUACACAAUACAGACAAGGGAAAGUGGCUUCUAUGGGUUUCUCCGCACUAUCCCAGUAGGAGUACGGAUUUUGAUCUUGGAAGGUGGUCAAGUGAGCGAUAGUUUUGCUGAGAUCAUGAACAGAAACAGCAUAGGAAACCAUACCUACAUGGAUACAGAAUUCUAUUGGUCCAUGGGUUCUGCUUCAAGAGGAGCCAGCAAUAGUGAAGCCACUCAAGUGAUGAACCCGAUCGCAUGCUUGCAUCUGGAUGAUAUCCUUUUAUUCACUGUGACCAGACACCAUUAUCCGCAGUAUGAUGUUGAGAACUUAUUCAACACAAAUGCUGCUUUUGACUGGGGAGUCUUUAGAGUAUUGGAACAAGAGCUAGCAAUGGCACAAUCUGCAAACUCCCUCUUUUCCGUUAGCUUUAGUGAGCCUGGUGUGUAUGUCAUCAAACUGAGCAGCAAUCAACACAAGCAUGUGUAUGUAAAGGUUUUGCCUGCUGGAGGAGAUUGCUAUGACAUCGGACCGUUCUUUCCUACUGAUCCACAUCACAUGAUUCGGAUGGGCAUAACCCUCCAACGCCAGCUCCUGCUGCGACCCGACUGGUGGGUGAUUGGAGGUCUCUUAGCUGGAGCUACAGUUGUGCUCUGCUUGUGUCUUGCAGUACUGAUCUUGUUCAGAGAGCACGGCUGGCCAGAGAAGCUGCCUUCUCAGGCCAGGUACCGGGAACUACAGCUCAAGUACAACAUGGAUGACUAUUCAUCAAAAGGUUCCAGGGUCAUAGCACUGAAAAAGAUGCACAGAAACUUAACGGUCGGGAUGAACGAGGAUCCAGUGCUGAGAGCUAUGGCUGUAACAUCAGACGAGUUCUGGGACUAUGAGAAUCAGGUGAACCUGGAGGCUUUCAGUUCCAGCACAUUCUAUGACAUCUUGCUUAAGCACAGUGUAUCUGUCACCACCCGGCUUGGGCAGUUCAAAGAAGAGGUGAAGCAGCUCUAUCAAGGGGUGCUGGAAAAGGUGCAGGGACUUCAACCUGGCCCAGGGGCUGUGGUGGUAGGGGGAAAGCUGGAGUGUUUGGAGAAACAAGUGGAGCAAGAGAUAGCACGCAGGAAAGUUCUGGGCACUCAGAUUUCCCAGCUGCUGGACAGCCAGCUUCAGAUCCUCCGGAAUGAGUCCCAGUCCCAGCAUGCCAUGCACAAGGCUUACUCAGCACUCCUCAGAGAAUGCUUUCGGUUGCUGAUGCUGGUUUCUGACAACCAGACCUCUCUCUGGAGCAAAUAUAUCCAGCAAUGUGUUAUGGAUAGAUUGCAUGUGCUGGCUGAGGAGAUGGCAGAGCUGGUCUCAAUGGAGGCGCAGAGGCAGGGUUGCUGGGGCAUGCUCAAACAGGGGACUGGAGCACGGCUACUAUGCCCCACUUCUGGAUCGGUCCUCACUAGGGAUGACAUUAUUGCACCUGAUGGGUCUGUCCAGGCAUGCGAUACAGUCCAUGUGGACUCCUGCACAGGCCUCAUCCAUCCAAUCCCGAAUGCCCACAUGCUCCUAGCUAGUGGCCACAGCAUGCCCGUGGCCUCUGACUUCUUUGUGCAUCCUCAGACUGGCCGGCUGCUCCCAGUGGCAGGGAAUGUAGGAUUUGACUCCUCCAGCUCCACCCUUGUAUGCACAGCCGAUGCUUGUGUGGGUGAGGUUGGAAAAUGGGAGUCUCCUGUGCUUCCCUUCAUUCCCUACCCUUCAUCUCGCCACUCUGAGCUGCUAGGGCCAUCCAAGUUGAGAAGCCUCCAAACAGGCCAGAAGCUUGUAUUUGGAGGACCCAUGUGUGACUUUGAAACUGGCGUACUUGUCCCGAUCCUGGCAGUCACCAUCCACCCCCAGACGGGGAUGGUGUACCCGGUAGGUGGUGCUCAUGUGUGCCCUGUGACGCGACUCCGGCAGCCCAUUCAGAUUGGUUGUCCAAUGCUGGAUCCUCGCACGGGCAAUGUGGUACUCAUAACAGGUGUUAGUCUGGACUCGCAUACAGGUGCAGUGCUUCCAGUAGGAGGUCUCCUGCUGGGCGAAACCUUCAUCGAGCCCCUGAGUGGCAGGCUGGUGCGUGUAGGUGGCGGCAGCCUCCGGGGAGGAAAAGUGGUGCCACAUGCAGGGGGUUUCCAGGCUCUACUGGACAGCCAAGCUCUUGGUGCGCGGGUGGGGGUGGUGGAGCUGAUACGGGCCUACUGUGACGGGUGGAAAUCUGGGAGUCUGGACCUCAACAAUGAGAUUAGCAGAGUGAAGACAGCUGCCUCAGAUUUGGAGCAAGCCUGGAGGAACAGUCAGGACUGCACGCUUCAGCUGCUAAGUUGUCUGGAGGCUCAGCAGGAGUGGGCCUGGCGGGUGGCUGAAGAUGGGGGCAGUCUAGGUGAGAUCAGUCUGCCUGGCAUUGAGCUGUCCCUGCCCGCUCUGCCAGGACUGGAAUAUCCGGACCCUGGAGGUUCUGGCUUAUCAGUCCCUGUUCUUGGUGUGCAGCUGGAUUGGAUGUCAGGGUGUAUGGUGCCUCUUGCUGGAACAAUGGAAGAUGCAGAUGGCAAGGGGCUGGUUCCGAUCCGCUUUGGGGCACAGACUAUAGACCCUGUGACAGGGGUGGUGGCUCCGGUGGUAGGAGCUCGGCUAGACUUCUGGAAGAGGACUGUAGUCCCAGUGACCGUCUCUCAGUGCCUGACCAUAAGAGAAGCUCCAGACAUUGUGCUGGCGGAGGCCUUACAGAAGGAGUGCAGCAUGAGGGCCCAGUUCUGGAGACAGCAGAGAGUAAAGGAAGAAGAACUAGUGGCGGAUUUAGACAGAGCUCUGAGGGACUGCCUUUACACAGCAUUACAGGAAGAGCCAGAUCAUCUUGUGUGGACAGACACAGAUAAGCAAAUAAGGGAGACAGCAGCAGAACUUCAGGAGGAAGACUAUAAAGAGGCUCAAAGAAGAAAUGCUGUGAACUCGGAGCUGUCUCUCCUGCUGCCUGGACACAUCCUACUCACUCUUACUGGAGGUGAUGAAGAAGAGUGGAAGCAGCAGCGUCACUGGCAUGCUGAACUGACUGCAGUGUUGAAUAGAGUGAGUGUGUUUAUGGCAAGGCAGCAGUGGGAGCAAGGUCGGUCCACACCUCUGGGUGAUGAGCAAGCGGAUGAAAAGACAUGGCAGAAGGAGCUGUGGGAGCAAUUAAAUCAGAGAUACACCGAGCUGGACGUUGCUCUUUCUUCACUACACUGCACCUGCAAGAUCAGCCAGCUCCGUGCUGCUACUGCAGAGGCCAUAUUAUCAGGCUCAUUCUCGUAUAGGGAUUAUUGUAUGGUGCAGCCCAGAGGCAGAAAAAACCCUCUGAAAGCAAUGGCCCUGACUCAGCACAAAAUCCUCUCUCAGUUAGAGCGCCUCAUUCAGCUGCUGGAGGAUGGCAAACUUUCCAGUCUCUUCAUCAGAGGCCAGAGCCAGCAGAGCUCUGACCUGCCAGUGAAGCAAGCGUUUGACAGGGACACAGGCUCUAGAGCAUGGACUGUGUCGGUCCCUGUAGCUAAAGAUGCCAAUCAGUCUUGCUGUGCAGCAGUUUCCACUCAACCCCUGAAAGAUCAUGAAAAGGCUUCAUCUGUGAGCGAGCUAAAUGGCUUGAAGGGUGUAUUGUCCAGUACAUCUCCUUCACACAGAGAACAGGAUGUAAGCCCUGCUCAAAGCCAGGAUCUCAAGGAGACGACAUUUCCCGUGCACAUGACAGUCCCCAAACUGUCAGGUGAGGACUGGGCCAGUUUGCUGGAGCUCUCGCCACUCUUCCGGCUUAUCCAAGAUGUGGAACAGCGGCUCAGAGACCAAGCAAAGAACGCCGGCCUGCUUAGCGGCUCAGGGUGCACCUUUAUCGAUUUCUUGGAUGCGCAGUGGGAUUGUGAGGGAGAGCUCGUCAAAGUCGGUGCUGACACUCUCAAUCCCCGCGAGUUUCUCAUCUACCAGCACGGCCAGCUUCUUCUCAAACUGCUACACACACACAGAGUGGCACCAGCAGUGAAAUUACACCUCGCCUCAAGACUUCCUACAAAUAACUACUGCUGCAAUUCCUUCCGUAAUUCCUUUUAUUACCAGGAGACGGAUAACAUUCUGUACGUGCGACAGCAGAGACUGCAGUCUGUAGGAGGUUUCUCUCUGCUGCUUAUACACUGUGCUGCUCACAUAUCCACUGGACAACUUACUGUUGACACAACUGUUGCCUUCCAAAGGGCUUUCUUUAAGGUCCUGCAAGUGUGUCUAAGUGAGUUGUUCCAUGCCAGAUUAGAGCCUGAUUCAGCUGAAGGAAAGAAGCAAAGCACUGACUCAACCCUUAAUAGCCUUGUGUCCGAGAGAGUGCAGAAAUGCGACCCAGGGACUUUGUCUGAGAACCUGAAUGAGGUGGCCAGGCUGCUAGAGAAGCACAAAGAAAGUUCAGUGUUCAGGAAAGUAGAAAGCCUGCUGAGAGAUAAGAACCUGGAGGUCAGCCCAAGUGACAGUGAGCCGCCAAUUAAACAUGGAGCAGAAGGCCAGGACGUUGCGCCAGAGUGAAGUGAUGAAUCGGUCUUGAAAUACGAGCACUGCUGCCUUUCACUGAAUAUGACAAGACCAACUAUCUCAUCCAAACUACUGUAAGCUGCUCCGUGGGAGACAGAUGGCAGCGUAGACGAUGGCUUUGCUUUGGAUUGAGGACGUUCGAGUAACUACAAAAAGAAGCACAUGGAACACACAUUAAACAACAUUAAGCAAAAAGGAAAAAUCCAAAUGAUGACAAACAAUAAUAAGGACAUGAAUGUAAUGCAAAUCAGUGUACAUUAUAACGUUAAGAUAAUUAUUCUGAGGUGGAUGGAAAACUACUAAAAUGCAAGAUCGUGUAGUCAGUUAUUAAACUAAGUAACAGUGAUUGGUAUACGUUUAAAAACGCUUGAAUAUCAAAUGUGCAAAUUAUGAAAGCUUUCAAUAUUUCAUAAUGCAAGGUCCUAUUUCAAAUGAGGUCAUUACAGGGAAAAAAAAAAAUAUAUAUAUAUAUAUAUAUAUAUAUAUAUAUAUAUAUAUAUAUAUAUAUAUAUAUAUAUAUAUAUAUAAGCAUUUUGACAGUUUUUUCUUUGAUAAUGUUUGCACACUUGGGACUGAACAGAGUUAUCCAGCUCUGUGGAUAAGUUUUCUAAGGGCAGAGCUGGGAUGCUUCAUUUAUUAUUUUUUCAAUAAACAUCUCUACAUAUUUAUUGUUGAAA
ensembl:lncRNA